UAUUGGCAGGAAUGAUGAAUCAAUUAGAUGUACGAACUUAAGUAAUGAGCUAAAAUUUUGAGGCAUACAUUUGUCUGACUUGCCAAUC
rfam:Oryza brachyantha chromosome 3, whole genome shotgun sequence.